rnacentral:rRNA from 1 species
AUUGAACGCUGGCGGCGUGCUUAAUACAUGCAAGUCGAUCGGUAACAGGUGUAGCAAUACAUGCUGACGAGAGGCGGACGGGUGAGUAAUGCUUGGGAAUCUGCCUAUUAGUGGGGGACAACCCGGGGAAACUCGGGCUAAUACCGCAUACGCUCUACGGAGGAAAGCCGGGGACCGCAAGGCCUGGCGCUAAUAGAUGAGCCCAAGUCGGAUUAGCUAGUUGGUAGGGUAACGGCCUACCAAGGCGACAAUCCGUAGCUGGUCUGAGAGGACGACCAGCCACACUGGGACUGAGACACGGCCCAGACUCCUACGGGAGGCAGCAGUGGGGAAUAUUGGACAAUGGGCGCAAGCCUGAUCCAGCGAUGCCGCGUGUGUGAAGAAGGCCUGCGGGUUGUAAAGCACUUUCAGUAGGGAAGAAAG